rnacentral:rRNA from 1 species
UACGUAGGGUGCGAGCGUUGUCCGGAAUUACUGGGCGUAAAGAGCUCGUAGGUGGUUUGUCGCGUUGUUCGUGAAAUCUCACGGCUUAACUGUGAGCGUGCGAGCGAUACGGGCAGACUGGAGUACUGCAGGGGAGACUGGAAUUCCUGGUGUAGCGGUGGAAUGCGUAGAGAUCCGGAAGAACACCGGUGGCGAAGGCGGCUCACUGGCUCAUUACUGACGCUCAGGCGCGAUAGCGUGGGGAUCAAACAGG